UGGUAGGAGAACAUUGUGGCCGCCUGAGAAGGUACACCGAAAGGAGUGCUGGAGGUUCCACAAGAGCUUAUGUUGACACGAGUAGCGAAAAUGAGGGUGAGAAACCCUCACGCCGAAAGCCUAAGGUUUCCUGUAGUCAAGUUAAUCUGCUCAGGGUUAGUCGGCUCCUAAGGCGAGGCCGAGAGGCGUAGUCGAUGGGAAACAGGUUAAUAUUCCUGUACCACUAUCAUAAUGUUUGAUGGUAAGGGGGGACGGAGAAGGUAAGACCAUCCGGGCGUUGGUUGUCCCGGUUUAAGCAUGUAGGUGUGAGACUUUGGCAAAUCCGGGUCUCUUUAACACUGAGGUGUGAUGACGAUGUCUUUUAGACAAUAAAGUGGUUGGUUCCAUGCUUCCAGGAAAAUCCUCGUAUCUAGUUAUGAUUGUGACCGUACCGUAAACCGACACAGGUAGGCAGGUAGAAGAUACCAAGGCGCUUGAGAGAACUCUGGUUAAGGAACUCGGCAAAAUAGCACCGUAACUUCGGGAGAAGGUGUGCCAGCAAGGUGAAAUAAUUUACUUAUGGAGCCUAGUCUGGUUGCAGUGAAAUGGGGGGAGCGACUGUUUACUAAAAACAUAGGACUCUGCGAAGUCGAAAGACGAAGUAUAGGGUCUGACGCCUGCCCGGUGCCGGAAGGUUAAGGGGACUUGUCAGCGCAAGCGAAGCAAUGAACCGAAGCCCCGGUAAACGGCGGCCGUAACUAUAACGGUCCUAAGGUAGCGAAAUUCCUUGUCGGGUAAGUUCCGACCUGCACGAAUGGCGUAACGAUUUCCCCACUGUCUCAACCAGGGACUCAGCGAAACUGUAGUACCGGUGAAGAUGCCGGUUACCCGCAACAAGACAGAAAGACCCCGUGAACCUUUACUACAGCUUGGCAUUGGUUUUUGAGGUAACAUGUGUAGGAUAGGUGGGAGACUUUGAAACGGCCACGCCAGUGGUCGUGGAGUCAACCUUGAAAUACCACCCUUGUUAUCUUAGGAAUCUAACUGCGGUCCGUGAUCCGGAUCCAGGACAUUGUCUGGUGGGUAGUUUGACUGGGGCGGUCGCCUCCCAAAGAGUAACGGAGGCGCGCGAUGGUUCCCUCAGGCUGAUUGGAAACCAGCCGUAGAGUGUAAAGGCAUAAGGGAGCUUGACUGCGAGAGAGACAUCUCGAGCAGGUACGAAAGUAGGUCUUAGUGAUCCGGCGAUUCCGCAUGGAAGGGUCGUCGCUCAACGGAUAAAAGGUACUCCGGGGAUAACAGGCUUAUCUCCCCCAAGAGUCCAUAUCGACGGGGAGGUUUGGCACCUCGAUGUCGGCUCAUCACAUCCUGGGGCUGAAGCAGGUCCCAAGGGUUUGGCUGUUCGCCAAUUAAAGUGGUACGUGAGCUGGGUUUAAAACGUCGUGAGACAGUUUGGUCCUUAUCUGUUGCGGGCGCAGGAUAUUUGAGGAGAUCUUUCCCUAGUACGAGAGGACCGGGAUGGACGAACCUAUGGUGCACCAGUUGUUCCGCCAGGGGCAUUGCUGGGUAGCUAAGUUCGGCAGGGAUAACCGCUGAAAGCAUCUAAGCGGGAAGCCCACUUCAAGAUGAGAUAUCCCAUGGCAUUAGCCAUCUGAAGGGUCGUGGUAGACCACCACGUUGAUAGGUCGGGUGUGGAAGUGUAGUAAUACAUGGAGCUUACCGAUACUAAUAACCCGUG
rnacentral:rRNA from 1 species